GGCCUCGUAGCUCAGUUGGCUAGAGCAUUGGAAGUUUUAAAUUUUUUCCCUUUCUGGCGAGGGUUCGAGUCCCGUCGAGGCUG
rnacentral:tRNA from 1 species